rnacentral:rRNA from 1 species
GGCCUGCCCACUGAGGAAUUAAAUGGCCGCGGUAUUUUGACCGUGCAAAGGUAGCAUAAUAAUUAGUUUUUUAAUUGAAAGCUGGAAUGAAAGGUUGGAUGAGAAAAUAACUGUCUCUAUUUAGAUUAAUUAGAAUUUUAUUUUUAAGUAAAAAAGCUUAAAUAAAAAUAGAAGACGAGAAGACCCUAUAGAGUUUUAAUUUAAUUGGGGUGAUUGAAAAAUUUAAUAAACUUUUUUUAUAUUUAAACAUUAAUUUAUGAAUAGUUGAUCCUUUUUUUAAGAUUAAAAGUAAAAAUUACCUUAGGGAUAACAGCGUAAUUUUUUUAGAGAGUUCAAAUCGAAAAAAAAGAUUGCGACCUCGAUGUUGGAUUAAAAUUAA